GCAGUCGAGCGGUAACAGGAGUUAGCUUGCUAAUUUGCUGACGAGCGGCGGACGGGUGAGUAACGCGUAGGAAUCUGCCUAGUAGUGGGGGACAACAUGUGGAAACGCAUGCUAAUACCGCAUACGCCCUACGGGGGAAAGGAGGGGAUCUUAGGACCUUUCGCUAUUAGAUGAGCCUGCGUGAGAUUAGCUAGUUGGUGGGGUAAAGGCUCACCAAGGCGACGAUCUCUAGCUGGUCUGUGAGGAUGAUCAGCCACACUGGGACUGAGACACGGCCCAGACUCCUACGGGAGGCAGCAGUGGGGAAUAUUGGACAAUGGGCGCAAGCCUGAUCCAGCCAUGCCGCGUGUGUGAAGAAGGCCUUCGGGUUGUAAAGCACUUUCAGAGGUGAGGAAGGUUGUGUAGUUAAUACCUGCAUAAUUUGACGUUAGCCUCAGAAGAAGCACCGGCUAACUCUGUGCCAGCAGCCGCGGUAAUACAGAGGGUGCGAGCGUUAAUCGGAAUUACUGGGCGUAAAGCGCGCGUAGGCGGUUUGUUAAGUCGGAUGU
rnacentral:rRNA from 1 species